GACGUAGGGUCCAAGCGUUGUCCGGAUUUACUGGGCGUAAAGAGCGCGUAGGCGGUCUGUUAAGUGUAGAGUGAAAUCUCCAGGGCUCAACCCGGAAACUGCUCUGCAUACUGGCAGACUUGAGGAAUGCAGAGGUUUGUGGAAUUCCUGGUGUAGCGGUGAAAUGCGUUGAUAUCAGGAGGAACACCCCAUGGCGAAGGCAGCAAACUGGGCAUUAC
rnacentral:rRNA from 1 species